rnacentral:rRNA from 1 species
UACGUAGGCAGCAAGCGUUGUUCGGAAUUACUGGGCGUAAAGGGCUCGUAGGCGGCCAACUAAGUCAGACGUGAAAUCCCUCGGCUUAACCGGGGAACUGCGUCUGAUACUGGAUGGCUUGAGUUCGGGAGAGGGAUGCGGAAUUCCAGGUGUAGCGGUGAAAUGCGCAGAUAUCAGGAGGAACACCGGUGGCGAAGGCGGGUCUCUGGGCCGAUACUGACGCUGAGGAGCGAAAGCGUGGGGAGCGAACAGG